UACGGAGGGGACUAGCGUUGUUCGGAAUUACUGGGCGUAAAGCGCACGUAGGCGGAUUUGUAAGUCAGGGGUGAAAUCCUGGAGCUCAACUCCAGAACUGCCUUUGAUACUGAAGAUCUUGAGUUCGGGAGAGGUGAGUGGAACUGCGAGUGUAGAGGUGAAAUUCGUAGAUAUUCGCAAGAACACCAGUGGCGAAGGCGGCUCACUGGCCCGAUACUGACGCUGAGGUGCGAAAGCGUGGGGAGCAAACAGG
rnacentral:rRNA from 1 species